CACGUACCUAAACUUGUGACCAGGGGUCUCUAGUUUUAGAAAUGGAAACCCCUUUCACAACCACGAUGUUGGAGAGGGAAGCAGCUACCUCAAAAGAAGGGAAUGAACGGUUGAGACCAGACAAUAUAAUAAGUGGCCACUCUCUGGUAGAGAAAGACUUUGGAGGAAACCCAUCAGGCAUCCAGAACCCACAGCUCUGCCAUCAGAACUCCAUCCUGGGAACAGAAGCCGUCUAUCUGCAUCUGUAAACAUGGCCUCAUGUAGUGACGUGCAGGGAAAUGAGUGUGCCCUUGCAAUGGUUCUCAGUCCUUUCUUUAUCUCAACAUCAUGGCAUUUUAUGGCUUCCCUCAUGAGACAACUCAAUUAUUCUCACAAUUUAUCUAGAUUUCUGGAAAAAUAUGUUGGAAUGUGGCCUUCCUACCAGAAAACCACUCAGACUGCCUCCUCUCCCUCUUACUCUCCAGGGAGGAGAGAAGAAUGAUCAUCAAGGGCAGAAGGCAGUUACAUCGAAGCAACACUGAAAACUGGCUUCAUGCUCAGGAGAGAAUGCUGCGCUUUUUCCUCGUGAUUUGUGGUGCUCUACAUAUUCAGAGAAACUUCUCCAGUAACAAACUAUAGAAAUGAUCCCUCAAAGUAUAGUCUUCAAGAUUCUUAAUCACAUCUGAAAAGAGCCUUUGUCAUGCCAGACCCUUGCUGACAUCGAUAGGAGUGACACCCUGUUUGACAGGCUGAAGAAGAGACCUAGAGCCGGUGAAUGAAAUACAGGGUUUAUUGAAGGAACCCAGUGUCAAUGGGCUGGAUAAAAGAACAGCUACCACUUGUAAAAAACAUGCAGUUUAGGCCGGGUGUGGUGGUUCACGCCUGUAAUCCCAGCACUUUGGGAGGCUGAGGCGGGCAGAUCCUGAGGUCAGGAGAUUGAGACCAUCCUGGCUAAUACUGUGAAACCCCGUCUCUACUACAAAUACAAAAAAUUAGCUGAGCGUGGUGGCACAUGCCUGUAGUCCCAGCUA
rnacentral:lncRNA from 1 species